CCGAAGGUUUCGGAAGCCGGGACUCUAUUUCCUUACGCUAGCUUGUUACAGUUGUCUUCGUGUUUCCUGAGCUCGCAAGUUCGAAUCCUACUCUCGGGAAACUAGUUUACAUUCUUUGGAUCAUAGAUCUGGAGCUAUAAGAGACCUCGAAAGCCAUCUACUCCAAAUCCUUAUUUUACAGUUGAGGAAACUGAGAAAUUUGAAUUAAGUGAUUUGCCCAAUGAUACAAAGGAGCGGCCACAGGAGGAUUGAGGAGGGAUGAAAACAUUUGGAACGACCACUCUGGUUUUCUUGAAAAUUUACAUUUUGCAACUUCUGCUUUCAGAGACAACCGCUUGGGCUUUCCAUUGAUACUACACUGGGAGGAAGAUAAAUAAGGCAAUGGGUGGUACUGGUGUGGGAUGGGGCCAGGGAAAA